rnacentral:rRNA from 1 species
CCUACGGGAGGCUGCAGUGGGGAAUAUUGGACAAUGGGGGGAACCCUGAUCCAGCCAUGCCGCGUGUGUGAAGAAGGCCCUCGGGUUGUAAAGCACUUUCAGUGAGGAAGAACGCCUGGUGGUUAAUACCCAUCAGGAAAGACAUCACUCACAGAAGAAGCACCGGCUAACUCCGUGCCAGCAGCCGCGGUAAUACGGAGGGUGCGAGCGUUAAUCGGAAUUACUGGGCGUAAAGCGCGCGUAGGUGGCUUGAUAAGCCGGUUGUGAAAGCCCCGGGCUCAACCUGGGAACGGCAUCCGGAACUGUCAAGCUAGAGUGCAGGAGAGGAAGGUAGAAUUCCCGGUGUGGGGGUAAAAUGGGUAGAGACCGGGAGGAAUACCAGGGGCGAAGGCGGCCUUCUGACCUGAAACUGACAUGGAGGUGCGAAAGCGUGGUAGCAAACAGGAUUAGAUACCCGGGUAGUC